GACAUUUUAAGUCUAGAGGGCAUGACGCUUUCAAAGAUCAAUCAGGCAGCCCUGAGCUGCUUAAGAGACCUUUCUGCCUGUAGCUCUGACAAAACCUGUUUUCUUGGAUGCUGCUUCCACCCGCUCUCCAUCCCUUCCUGCUCUAACAGAAGGGAUCUUUUCCCUGACUAGUCUUGCUCCUCCUUCAAACCCCAGCUGUCCUGGUCUCUGGCUGGAAGCCUUCUGUGAACACCAGCCUGGGUGGGAGCCCCUUUCUCUGCCUCAUAGCAGCAGAGGACGGCGGGGUCUGCCUAGCACAUGGCAGGGUGCAGUGCCUGUCUGAAUGUGUGAAGAGUUCUUAGUGAUGGGUAAAGGGUGUUCCUGUGUGUUUUAGAUUCUGCUCAGCAAUCCUCAGAUGUGGUGGUUAAAUGAUUCCAAUCCUGAAACCGACAACCGUCAAGAAAGUCCUUCCCAGGAAAACAUUGACCAAUUGGUGUACAUGGGUUUUGAUGCACUUGUGGCCGAAGCUGCGCUGAGAGUGUUCAGAGGCAACGUCCAGCUGGCCGCCCAGACCCUUGCUCACAACGGAGGAAGCCUGCCUCCCGAGCUGCCGCUGUCGCCAGAAGACUCUUUGUCCCCGCCAGCCACAUCCCCUUCUGACUCCGCAGGUAGGUCUGAGGUCUCUGAGGGCCACAUUGAGAGCAAAGUGUCUUCAGAAGCCAACAGAUGUGGCCCUAAGCCACGGCAGAUGUGGAGACUGAGGGGGCGUCCCCUGACGUCACCGGGCCGGCCACCUGGACAGUGUGGCCAGCAAGAGGCACAGUCUGAGGUUGACUGUGGUCGUGCAGUGUCCCCAGGACAAUCCUCACAUAAUUCACUUACUCCUGCGGUAUUUUAUUGUAGGAACCUCUAGUGCCUCAACAGACGAAGACAUGGAGACAGAGGCCGUCAAUGAGAUACUGGAAGACAUUCCAGAGCAUGAGGAAGACUAUCUUGACUCAACUCUGGAAGACGAAGAAAUUAUUAUUGCAGAGUACCUAUCCUAUGUAGAAAACAGGAAGUCAGCAACAAAGAAAAACUAAAUAAUGAACAGAAAUAGCGCUAAUUUUCUGCUUAUAAAUGCUAUCAUUAUGAAAAGGCUAAUGCAGCUCUUUCUGUUCUUACCUUUUAUCUGAAUUGCAAGUCCUCUUUGGGUGUAGGAGGGGGUGGGCAGGGGACAAGUCCAGGAGGGGUCCCAGGGCCUUCAUGCGUGGUCUCGGGGAAGAAGCUUCCUCUGGCCUGGCGCAGGCCGUUCCAUCUGCCUCCCAGGUCUGCGUCCCUAACCCCUUCCCCAGCUUGGUGUUUUACCCCGAAACAGGAAGGAACAGGGGUCCUGUGGAACAGGGGUCCUGGGGAAGGUGUCCAGGGCAGGGUCCUGGGAAGGGUGUCCCGACCACUUCCUCUCCAGCUGUGGCUCCAUCUGCCCAGCUUGCCUACCUCCUGCACCCACUGCCCAUGACCUUCCUGCUUCCCACGCUGCCAUCUCUGCCAGGGUGCCCCAUGGGUUCCUGUGCCACCCUUUCCCCGCCCCUCAAAUCGUCCUUUAAGUAAGUCUUCCUUCCAAGUGCUGUGGGGCAUAACGAUGAGGCACUGGCCUUGGGGGCCACACCAGGUCGCAGCAAAUGCCUUCAGCCUGGGACGCCAGUGUUUUAUGCUCUUAGUUCAGUAAAAUACGCCCCCAAAAUUCAAGAUUGAGUGUCAGGCUUUAUAUAUAUUCAGCAUUCCUCAUUACAGAAAUCUUUUAUUGAAUGGGAAAGGUUUAAAUGCUAACCAAAGCAAUUUAUUUUUAAUUAAUAUUUUUAGACUGUGCUGUCAUACUGAACUCACUGCUAGCUAAGAGACCUAUCAGAGAUUUAGAUAUAUUUUCUCCAGGUUUUUUGUGGGGUUUUUUUUUGUUGUUGUUGUUCCAGCCAUGUGACAGAGGCUCUUUCUAAAAGUAUGUAGUUCGCUGUGUGUCGGCUCCAGCAGUAACCGUCCUCACUGCGCCACGCACUCCUCUGUAGAUGUGUGCCCAGUGGGAGUUCCUUCCAGCCCCAGGACCGCAGCAGCAGCCAGGUGCCGAGUGGAUUGAGUGCCAGGUGUAUCCAAGACUUUCCCUCCCUUCCAGAAGGCACUGGCUGAAGACAGGAUGGAUCAUGCGGAGCCGGCUGAAAUGCUCCAACUUUUUCAAAGUGUGGGUGGUCCAGUUUGGACUGAUGGGAAUCUUCUUGUCAUUCUUUUUAAACGGAUGAUACCGAUGGAAAUAAAAGGAUGUCUGUUUCCACUGAGUUUUG
rnacentral:lncRNA from 1 species